rnacentral:rRNA from 1 species
GAUGAACGCUGGCGGCGUGCCUAAUACAUGCAAGUCGAGCGAACAGAUGAGGAGCUUGCUCCUCUGACGUUAGCGGCGGACGGGUGAGUAACACGUGGAUAACCUACCUAUAAGACUGGGAUAACUUCGGGAAACCGGAGCUAAUACCGGAUAAUAUAUUGAACCGCAUGGUUCAAUAGUGAAAGACGGUUUUGCUGUCACUUAUAGAUGGAUCCGCGCCGCAUUAGCUAGUUGGUAAGGUAACGGCUUACCAAGGCAACGAUGCGUAGCCGACCUGAGAGAGGGGCCGCCCAAACUGGAACGGAGACCGGCCCAGGCCCCCGCCGGGGGGAGACGGAGGGAAAUCUGCCAAAGGGGGCGAAAGCCGGAGGGAACAGCCCGGCGUGAGGAAGGAGGGUUUUCGGAUCGAAAAACUUUUUUAUGGGGAAAAAAAAAAUGUGAAAGAAACACGGCCCGUCUGGACGGUACCAAAUAAAAAAGCCACGCCAAACUACGUC